CUGACGGAGCAACGCCGCGUGAGUGACGAAGGCCUUCGGGUCGUAAAGCUCUGUUGUUAGGGAAGAACAAGUACCGUUCGAAUAGGGCGGUACCUUGACGGUACCUAACCAGAAAGCCACGGCUAACUACGUGCCAGCAGCCGCGGUAAUACGUAGGUGGCAAGCGUUGUCCGGAAUUAUUGGGCGUAAAGCGCGCGCAGGCGGUCUUUUAAGUCUGAUGUGAAAGCCCACGGCUCAACCGUGGAGGGUCAUUGGAAACUGGAGGACUUGAGUGCAGAAGAGGAGAGUGGAAUUCCACGUGUAGCGGUGAAAUGCGUAGAUAUGUGGAGGAACACCAGUGGCGAAGGCGGCUCUCUGGUCUGUAACUGACGCUGAGGCGCGAAAGCGUGGGGAGCAAACAGGAUUAGAUACCCUGGUAGUCCACGCCGUAAACGAUGAGUGCUAGGUGUUGGGGGGUUCCACCCUCAGUGCUGAAGUUAACACAUUAAGC
rnacentral:rRNA from 1 species